rnacentral:tRNA from 2 species
GGAAGGUUGCAAGAGCGGUUUAAUUGGCACGCCUGGAAAGCGUGUGUACUCGAAAGGGUACCGAGAGUUCGAAUCUCUCACCUUCCG